CGUAGGUGAACCUGCGGAAGGAUCAUUAGUGAAUUGAAUCUGUUAGCGGACCUCUUCGGAGUCCCUAGCAUCAAAUCAUAUCCAUAACACCUGUGAACUGUAAGGCUGUCUUGAAAACGAAAGUGAUUAGAGCGCCUGCCCAUUUUAUACAAACAUUAAAGUAACAAACGUAGUCUUAUUAUAAUCUAAUAAAACUUUCAACAACGGAUCUCUUGGCUCUC
rnacentral:misc_RNA from 1 species